AUCCCGUCUUGUCAUGGUUUAGAUUUUAUACGAUACCCCUAAAUGGCCUUAACAACAAGCAACGAAGGCCGGAGUAAAUUGGAACUGAUCUAUCCAUCAAAAGUAAACGAAGUGGGAGAACGGUACGAAUUGUUGUAAAUUAUAACAACUCAUGUAUUUGCUCUGGUUUGAUUUAUUGAACAACACCACAAAGCAGUUAUAC
rnacentral:rRNA from 1 species